GCUGAAAAACAUAACCCAUAAAUGCGAGUUGUACCAGGAACCACCUCCUUAGCCUGCGUAUCUCCCUUACGCAGGCUUAUUU
rnacentral:sRNA from 1 species